rnacentral:rRNA from 1 species
GUGGGGAAUAUUGGACAAUGGGCGAAAGCCUGAUCCAGCCAUGCCGCGUGUGUGAAGAAGGUCUUCGGAUUGUAAAGCACUUUAAGUUGGGAGGAAGGGCAGUAAGUUAAUACCUUGCUGUUUUGACGUUACCAACAGAAUAAGCACCGGCUAACUUCGUGCCAGCAGCCGCGGUACUACGAAGGGUGCAAGCGUUAAUCGGAAUUACUGGGCGUAAAGCGCGCGUAGAUGGUUCAGCAAGUUGAAGGUGAAAUCCCCGGGCUCAACCUGGGAACUGCAUCCAAAACUACUGAGCUAGAGUACGGUAGAGGGUAUUGGAAUUUCCUGUGUAGCGGUGAAAUGCGUAGAUAUAGGAAGGAACACCAGUGGCGAAGGCGACUACCUGGACUGAUACUGACACUGAGGUGCGAAAGCGUGGGGAGCAAACAGGAUUAGAAACCCUAGUAGUCC